rnacentral:rRNA from 1 species
UAGGGAAUCUUCUGCAAUGGACGCAAGUCUGACGGAGCAACGCCGCGUGAGUGAAGAAGGAUUUCGGUUCGUAAAACUCUGUUGUUAGAGAAGAACAGCGCAUAGAGUAACUGUUAUGCGUGUGACGGUAUCCAACCAGAAAGCCACGGCUAACUACGUGCCAGCAGCCGCGGUAAUACGUAGGUGGCAAGCGUUGUCCGGAUUUAUUGGGCGUAAAGCGAGCGCAGGCGGUCAAUUAAGUCUGAUGUGAAAGCCCCCGGCUCAACCGGGGAGGGUCAUUGGAAACUGGUUGACUUGAGUGCAGAAGAGGAGAGUGGAAUUCCAUGUGUAGCGGUGAAAUGCGUAGAUAUAUGGAGGAACACCAGUGGCGAAGGCGACUCUCUGGUCUGUAACUGACGCUGAGGCUCGAAAGCGUGGGUAGCAAACAGG